rnacentral:rRNA from 1 species
GACGAACCGUCCGAACGUUAUUCGGUAUCACUGGGCUUAAAGAGUUCGUAGGCGGCCCGACAGGUGAGGUGUGAAAUCCCUCGGCUCAACCGAGGAAUUGCGCUUCAAACCGUCGGGCUUGAGGGAGAUAGAGGUGAGCGGAACAGAUGGUGGAGCGGUGAAAUGCGUUGAUAUCAUCUGGAACACCGGUGGCGAAAGCGGCUCACUGGAUCUUUUCUGACGCUGAGGAACGAAAGCUAGGGUAGCGAACGGGAUUAGAAACCCCCGUAGUCC